GGUACCCUAGGGCGUCCAGGGAAUGACGGGGCCAAGGGCUUUGUGGGACCUGCAGGGACCCCUGGACAGGAUGGUCGCCCAGGGAUACCAGGCACCCCCGGCCUCUCCAUUAAGGGAGACAAGGGCAGCACCGGAGAGAGGGGACCUCCAGGAGUGGGCAGUGGCUUGGCUGUGAAGGGGGAGAAGGGAUCACCGGUAAGCUCGGCGUGUGUCUUUUUGUAUAUGUGCCUACAUUUGUAUCCUGCAGAUCUCUGGGGUGAUAAUUAUACUGUACACAUCUAUGGUUUGAUGUGUUACCAUAACUGACUUAUUUACCAUAUCUUGUUGUGUUCAGGGGUCUAAUGGAAACCCAGGAGCUCAGGGUCUCAGAGGAUCUACAGGACAACAAGGAGCCAAAGGAGACAAGGUUGGUACUGUGUGUGCCUGUGUGUGUGCGCCUGUGUGUGUACAGUAUAUGCGUGUAUACUGAGUGUUUUUUAUGUUUCAGGGGGAGAGUGCAGAGGGGUUGCCAGGACUGGCUGGGAAGGCAGGAGAGCCUGGUGAUCGGGGUCCCCGUGGGCCUGCUGGGAGCAUUGGACUCAAGGGGGACCGGGGCCAGCCAGGUGAGCCUGGAUCACAAGGUGACAGGGUGAGUAUGGAUACAGCCCCUCUAACCCAGUUAGACUGUGGCUGUUAAACUGUUUUGUCUGCUGUGGGUUGUAACUGACUGUGUUGCCUUUCCAGGGGGAGAGAGGACUUGCUGGCUUGGCAGCGGAGAGGGUGAGUACAGUACCAUGCAUUUGGUUAUGCCUCUUUUCACUGUGACCUUGUUCAUGACCAUGACGCUAGAUAUUGUACAGCUACAGUAUAGGAGUUUCACAUUUGUUUUCCGUUUUCAUGUGUUCACUAGUAUUUAUCCUUAUCCUUGCUCGCUCACUUUUACUCCUACACUGAACCGAAUCCAUUUGUAUUAGCAUGAAGGUCACAGGUAUCGGAAAUGCCUGCUGAGGGUUGUCAUGCAGUGUGUUGUUCUGACCACAGUGUGGCGCUGUGUGUUUCAGGGGGAGAGUGGACAGCCAGGCUCUACAGGGGCUCCAGGCCUGAGGGUGAGUAACCAUGUCUUACUGUACCUCUACAUGAUUUGAGUCAUCUUCACAUCGUGACCCACCACUAUUGAUUGAUGUUGUUCAGUUAUAGGAUUUGAUGAUGCAUGCAGAGUCUUUAGAUAUUUGUGAUAUUUUAUUACAAUGCGUGAGUGUGUGAGUAAGUGUGUGUUGACUUGCUCACAGGGUUUCCCUGGCACCAGUGGAUUACCAGGAGAGAAGGUGAGGCUAAUACAGUCUGACUGACUCUGAUCAUUUAAAUUGAAUCUCCACAAAAUUAAAAUG
rnacentral:lncRNA from 1 species